rnacentral:rRNA from 1 species
UUUAAUUGAAGAGUUUGAUCAUGGCUCAGAUUGAACGCUGGCGGCAGGCCUAACACAUGCAAGUCGAGCGGCAGCACAGAGGAACUUGUUCCUUGGGUGGCGAGCGGCGGACGGGUGAGUAAUGCCUGGGAAAUUGCCCGGUAGAGGGGAUAACCAUUGGAAACGAUGGCUAAUACCGCAU